UCAUGAACCAGGCGACCAGUGCUGAACACAGUGUGCUGGGAGGGGCUGCUCAUUAGCAUAUGUGAAAAGCCAGAUAAGAGCUAGAGGAAGGUGGAAAGGAAAUAGUCUCCGAGACUGCUUGUGACCUUAAGAAGCCAAAGAUGAAUUGUGCAUCUGGCAGGAAGAAAAAGAUUCUGGAUUGCGGAGAAGCAUGUCUGUGUCCACCACCCAACUACCCCCACCCCCACCUGAGUUGGGUUCCUACUGGCAGAGUGAGAAACCACCUUUGUUCAUUGGAAAGCUUCCUUCAGAGAUGUCUGAGGUCUUGACAAGGCCCAGGGAAUGAAGCUGUGUCUGGAAUGUUCCUCACACAAGCCUGGUGCUCACAGGGAGCCAGCGAUCAGCCUCCGCUUUCCUGGAUCUCACUCUGUCACCCCGGCUGGAGUUCAGUGGUGCGAUCUCGGCUC